GAUGAACGCUGGCGGCGUGCCUAAUACAUGCAAGUCGAGCGAACAGACGAGGAGCUUGCUCCUCUGACGUUAGCGGCGGACGGGUGAGUAACACGUGGAUACCCUCCCUAUAAGACUGGGAUAACUUCGGGAAACCGGAGCUAAUACCGGAUAAUUUUUUGACCCGCAUGGUUCAAUAGUGAAAGACGGUUUUGUUGUCACUUAUAGAUGGUUCCGCGCCGCAUUAGCUAGUUGGUAAGGUAACGGCUUACCAAGGCAACGAUGCGUAGCCGACCUGAGAGGGUGAUCGGCCACACUGGAACUGAGACACGGUCCAGACUCCUACGGGAGGCAGCAGUAGGGAAUCUUCCGCAAUGGGCGAAAGCUUGACGGAGCAACGCCGCGUGAGUGAUGAAGGUCUUCGGAUCGUAAAACUCUGUUAUUAGGGAAGAACAAAUGUGUAAGUAACUAUGCACGUCUUGACGGUACCUAAUCAGAAAGCCACGGCUAACUACGUG
rnacentral:rRNA from 1 species